GGUAUGGGGUCAUUGUAGGGUCAUCAUAGCAUGGCUAUAGGGUCAUUGUGGGGUCAUCAUGGCACGGCUAUGGGGUCAUCAUAGGGUCAUCGGGGCACGGGUAUGGGGUCACUGUAGGGUCAUCAUGGCACGGGUAUGGGGUCACUGUAGGGUCAUCGGGGCACAGCCAUAGGGUCAUUGUAGGGUCAUCAUGACACGGCUAUGGGGUCAUCAUAGGGUCAUCGGGGCACGGGUAUGGGGUCACUGUAGGGUCAUCAUGGCACGGCUAUGGGGGCACUGUAGGGUCAUCGAGGCAUGGGUAUGGGGUCAUUGUAGGGUCAUCGGGGCAUGGGUAUGGGGUCAUUGUAGGGUCAUCAUGGCAUGGCUAUGGGGUCAUCAUAGGGUCAUCGGGGCACGGAUAUGGGGUCAUCUUAGGGUCAUCGGGGCACGGAUAUGGGGUCACUGUAGGGUCAUCGGGGCACGGGUAUGGGGUCAUCGUAGGGUCAUCAUGGCACGGGUAUGGGGUCAUCAUAGGGUCAUCAGGGCACGGCUAUGGGGUCACUGUAGGGUCAUCGAGGCAUGGGUAUGGGGUCAUUGUAGGGUCAUCGGGGCAUGGGUAUGGGGUCACUGUAGGGUCAUCAGGGCACGGAUAUGGGGUCAUUGUAGGGUCAUCGGGGCACGGAUAUGGGGUCACUGUAGGGUCAUCGGGACACGGAUAUGGGGUCAUUGUAGGGUCAUCAUGGCACGGCUAUGGGGUCACUGUAGGGUCAUCGGGGCACGGAUAUGGGGUCAUCUUAGGGUCAUCGGGGCACGGAUAUGGGGUCACUGUAGGGUCAUCGGGGCAUGGGUAUGGGGUCGCUGUAGGGUCAUCAUGGCAUGGCCACAGUCUUAUUGUAGGGUCAUCAUAGCACAGCCAUAGGAUCAUCGUAGGGUCAUCAUGGCAUGGCUAUGGGGUCAUUGUAGGGUCACCAUAUAUGGCCAUAGUCUUAUUGUAGGGUCAUCAUGGCAUGGCUAUAGGGUCAUUGUAGUGUCACCAUAGUAUGGCCAUAGUGUUAUUGUAGGGUCAUCGAG
ensembl:lncRNA